CGGCAAUGUGCAGGUGGACUGAGGAAUUUUCCGGUGUGUCCUUUAUGGACUAUACUCCGUCUUAGCACAAUUCCCAAGUUUUACCCGAGAGGCCAUGCUUCAGGUUGGGCCGUCUUCCAUAUAUCUACUGACUUCAUAUAAAUGAAAGUGUACUGAGGACACACUAAUCUGCACUACCAGUAACAAAGUAAUCCGACAAUCAGACUGGACCCGGUCAUGUUAGAAGAUACCAAAGAUAGGGGAUGAACAUACAAUCGAUUCUGCAUCGAUGCAUGACUUCGCUCGGAACGCGGCAAGAAUUAUCAAUGGAAGAAAAUACUACAGACG